rnacentral:rRNA from 1 species
UGGGGAAUAUUGCACAAUGGGCGCAAGCCUGAUGCAGCCAUGCCGCGUGUAUGAAGAAGGCCUUCGGGUUGUAAAGUACUUUCAGCGGGGAGGAAGGCGAUAAGGUUAAUAACCUUGUCGAUUGACGUUACCCGCAGAAGAAGCACCGGCUAACUCCGUGCCAGCAGCCGCGGUAAUACGGAGGGUGCAAGCGUUAAUCGGAAUUACUGGGCGUAAAGCGAACGCAGGCGGUCUGUCAAGUCGGAUGUGAAAUCCCCGGGCUCAACCUGGGAACUGCAUUCGAAACUGGCAGGCUAGAGUCUUGUAGAGGGGGGUAGAAUUCCAGGUGUAGCGGUGAAAUGCGUAGAGAUCUGGAGGAAUACCGGUGGCGAAGGCGGCCCCCUGGACAAAGACUGACGCUCAGGUGCGAAAGCGUGGGGAGCAAACA